UCCUAGUACGAGAGGACCGGAGUGGACGAACCUCUGGUGUACCGGUUGUCACGCCAGUGGCAUUGCCGGGUAGCUAAGUUCGGAAGAGAUAACCGCUGAAAGCAUCUAAGCGGGAAACUUGCCUUGAGAUGAGAUUUCCCGGAGCCUUGAGCUCCUUGAAGGGUCGUUCGAGACCAGGACGUUGAUAGGCUGGGUGUGGAAGUGCAGUAAUGCAUUAAGCUAACCAGUACUAAUUGCCCGUACGGCUUGUCCCUAUAACCUU
rnacentral:rRNA from 1 species